rnacentral:lncRNA from 1 species
GUGCCAUUACACUCCAGCCUAGACAACAGAGUGAGAAUCUGUCUCAAAAAAAAAGAAAAAAAAAAAAAAAAAAGGAAGAAAUUCACCAAGUUGUACACUGCUGUAAAUUAAACUUCCAAAGUAAAUUAAGUGUGUGCGUGUGUGUGUGAUGUUGUCACUAAGAAAACCUGUAUUGAGCUGGGCACAGUGGCUCACGCCUGCAGUCCUAACUACUGGGAGGCUGAGACGGUUGAACCCAGGAGUUUGAAGCUGCAGUGAGCUACAACUGUGCCACUACACUCUGGCCUGGGUGACAGAGCAAGAUCCCGUCUCUUACAACAAAAAUAAAGCCACUAUUGAUGGAGAAACGCUCCCAAUAAAUAAUAAAAUGCAGCAUAUAAACUAUAUACAUUGUGAUCUUAAUUAUACUUUUAUUAAAAUAUACAUACUUAUGCACAGAGUGAAUAGAAAAAAUAUUGGAAGGAAACCAAAAUAUUGACAGCAGUUAUCUCUGAUAGAUAGAAUGACAGAUGAUGUUUAUUUUCUUCUUACACUUUUUCCUAGAUUAGUUCUGCAUUUUCCGGCAUUCAUAUGUAUUGUUUCCCAGCCAUCCUGUCAAGCGCUGGGAUUGUUCUGAUCUCUGGGAGCCUCCAGGGCUGACUCCAGUAUGGCUAAUCUAAAGUGAGCUUGUAAUCUCCAAAAUCCUGAUGGUGGCUUUUCUAUUAGGCAGACUAAUAGAUUCAGAUAUAGGUCCCAACAGUUUGUGUUUUCCUUACUGUCCCAGUUUUAUAUCAUUAUUCUUAGUACUAAACAGAGUGACAACAGGGAGUGACAUUUGUUGAGGACCUACGAUGUGUCAGGGUCCAUGCUGGGGACUUCACAUGAGGGCUCCAUGAAGCCCCCUUGGACACUCAGGUCCUUGUGUCAUCCCCACUUCCCGCCCGCCACUGACGCUGGGGUGAACCUGCAACUCACUGUGACUAAGAGAAUGCAGUGGAAACCAUGCUCUACCCAGUCCAGGCUAAAGCUUUAAGGAGGCCUGGAAGUUACCACACAGCCCAGCAAUUCUACUCCUAGGAAUCUCCCUCAAGAAAACUGAAAACAUGGCUGCGUGCAGUGGCUCACACCUGUAAUCCCAGCACUUUGAAAGGCUGAGGUAGGCGGGUCACUUGAGCUCAGGAGUUUGAGACCAGCGUAGCCAACAUGGCAAAACCCUGUCUGUACUAAAAAUACAAAAAAUUAGGGAGGUGUGGUGGUGGAUGCCUGGAGUCUCAGCUAUUUGGGAGGCUGAGUAGCUUGGACUAUAAGCGUGCAGCACGACACCCGGCUAGUUUUUGUAUUUUUAGUAGAGAAAGGAUUUUGCCACAGCGGUCAGGCUAAUAAGGGAUCGCCUGGCUCAGCUUCCCAAAGUGUGGGGAUUACAGUUGUGAGCCACCGCACCCGGCUCCAAUAAAACUUUAUUUACAAAAACAAGCCGUGGGCCAGACAUGCCCUCUGGGCUGUAGUUUGCUGACUCCUGCCCUAGAGCAGAUGUACAUGAAGGGCAAUGAGAAGCGCGUGCAAAAAUACAUUCUCCUUCAAUGUGCAAUGGUGGAGGAAGCAAAAUGGGUUCCAACAUGAACCCCAAGUGAACACUCCCAGGGUAGGUGCUGUACAUUGUGGCCUUCUCUGCAUUCACCACCCACAGCUUAUCACUUCGGCAGUGACUCCCAGCCUGUAGCCUUGUUUUCUAAUACACAAAAUCUGAACACAAACCAAGUGCCCAUCAACUGGGGACUGGUUAAAUUAAUCAUGGUAUGUCUUUACAAUGGCGUAUUUGCAGUUAUUAAGAAUCAUAUUGUGAUUGAGCACGGUGGCUCAUGCCUGUAAUCCCAGCACUUUGGGAAGCCAAGGUGGGUGGGUCACUUGAGGGCAGAAGUUUGAGACCAGCCUGGCCAACAUGGUGAAACCCUGUCUCCAGUAAAAAUACAAAAAUUAGCUGGGCAGGCACCUGUAAUCCCAGCUAUUCAGGAGGCUGAGGCAUGAGAAUUGCUUGAACCUGGGAGGUGGAGGUUGCAGUGAACCAAGAUCACACCACCGCACUCCAGCCUGGGCGAGAGUGAGACUGUCUCAAACAAACAAAAAAGAAUGAUAUUGUGGUUCAUGCCUGUAAUCCCAGAAAUACUGGAGGCCAAGGUGGGAGGUUCGUUGAGCCCAGGAGUUUGAGAGCAGUUUGAGCAACACAGGGAGACCCUGUCUCUCCCAAAAAAUAAAAAUAAAAAAAUAAUUAGCCUGUGGUACAUGCCUGUGGUCCUAGGUACUUGGGAGACUGAGGUGGGAGGAUCGUGGCUACAGUGAGCUCUCAUCACGCCACCACACUCCAGCCUUGGCAACAGAGUGAGACCUUAUCUUUUUUUUUUUUUUUUUUGAGACAGAGUCUCACUCUGUCACCCAGGCUGCAGUGCAGCGGCGCGAUCAUGGCUCACUGCGACCUCCACCUCCCAAGUUCAAGAGAUUCUCCUGCGUCAGCCUCCUGAGUAGCUGGGAUUACAGGCGUGCGCCACCACACCUGGCUAAUUUUUGUAUUUUUAGUAGAGACGGGGUUUCAUCGAACUCCUGACCUCGUGAUCCACCCGCCUCGGCCUCCCAAAGUGCUGGGAUUACAGGCGUGAACCACCGCACCUGGCCAAGUGAGACUCUGUCUCUAAAAAAAGAAAAAAAAAGUUAUUUUAGAAAACAACACAUUUGAGGAUAUGGAAGUAUGGUUACAGUAUCAGGUGAGAAAACCAUGCUGGAAGAUACUAAGAUAACACUGCCAAAAGAAAAUGUAAGCACCACACCUAGAUGAUUAUGCACAGAAGAAAGGUUGGAAGAAUAUGUACCUAGGGUGAUGGUCUCCGGAGAAUGUGACUAUGGGUGAUUUAUUUUUCCUCUUCUAGCAAGUAUGCAUUUGAUAAGUUUCUUCAAUGAAUAUGCAUUAGUAGUUUAAAAAAAAUUUUUCUUUUUUGAGACAGGGGUCUCACUGUGUCACUCAGGCUGAAGUGCACCACUCGGCUCACUGUAACCUCCGCCUCCCGAGUUCAAGUGAUUCCUCUACCUCAGUCUCCUGAGUAGCUGGGACUACAGGCAUGUGCCACUAUGCCCAGCUAAUAUAUGUAUGUUUAGUAGAGAUAGGGUUUCACCAUAUUGGCCAGGCUGGUAUUGAACUCCUGGCCUCAAGUGAUCUACCCACCUCAGCCUCCUAAAGUGCUGGGAUUACAGGCAUGAGCCACCGUACCAGGCCUAAAAAAUUUUUUCAAGCAAAGUAAAACAAACAAAAGCCACUUAAAGCCACACCAAUGGUAUUUAAGGAUAUUAUGGACCCCUCCAUGGUUAUCUGCCCAAGGAAGCUAAUGCCACAAUAGAAGCCAAUGAAGAUCACAACACUGGUGCCAGGGGCAGCCCUGAUCACAGUGGACAAAAUAUAAUCCAAGUCCAGCAACAAGGUGGCUAAGGACCUAUUUACUGACACUGCACCGUAAGUAAAAAUGAGAACUGUAACACCUCCUAGCAACAAAGCAAGUGUAAAGAAAAUGAUGCUGAAAUGAACACAGCAGAACUCAUCCUUCCUUAUCCACUCUCAAAACAUACAUACAGGAAUAUGGAAAAUGCUGCAUGGGGAUGGUGAAGACAGGAAAAGGUUUACCAGGCUGGAAAUUGUUUGCGUUUUUUUUUUUUUUUUUUUUUUUUGAGAUGUUUUGCUCGUCGCCUAGGCUGGAGUGCAAUGGCGCGAUCUCGGCUCGCUGCAACCUCCGCCUCCCUGGUUCAAGUGAUUAUCCUGCCUCAGCCUCCUGAGUAGCUGGGAUUACAGGCGCACGCCACCACACCUGGCUAAUUUUUGUAUUUUUUAGUAGAGACGGGGUUUUGUCAUGUUGGCCAGGUUGGUCUCGAACUCCUGACCACAGGUGACCUGCCCACUUUGGCCUCCCAAAAUGCUGGGAUUGCAGGGUGUGAGCCUCUCACUGCACUCAGUCUGUUUGUAACUUUUUUUUUUUUUUCCGAGACAGAAGAUCUUGCUCUGUCACCCAGGCUGGAGUGCACUGGCACGAUCUCAGCUCACUGCAACCUCCACCUCCUGGGUUUUUAAGCAAUUCUCUGCCUCAGCCUCCUGAGUAGCUGGGAUUACAGGGGGCAUGCCACCACACCCAGCUAAUUUUUGCAUUUUUAGUAGAGACGGGGUUUCACCAUCUUGGCCAGGCUGUUCUUGAACUCCUGACCUCGUGAUCCACCUGCCUCGGCCUCCCAAAGUGCUGGGAGCCACCGCGCUGGCCUCUGUUUGCAAUUCGUAAAAAUGCUGUCAUCAGCCUUUAAUGGUGUGUGUGCAGACUGCACAAAGAAAAGUGGAUGAGAAGACAGAAAACACACACGGUGAUGAUACCCACAGCAACAGGUGCUCUCAGGCACUCAGCCGCAUUCGAGUUCAUUGAAACUUACAACAACCUUAGGCACACACUACUUGCAGGCCGAUUUUAGAGAUGUGGAAACUGAGGCUUGGAGAGGAGAAAGCAAUUAGCCAAGGUCCCUCUCAGAAUGAGCUGAGAUGGGAUUUGUACUCACACCUAACUGACCCAGAACAUUAGUGCUUAAACACUGUGAGACACUAGGCACCCAAACUUCAAACUCUGAUAACCUCUGGUGCCAGUAAAGUUCUUGAAAAGCUUCCUUAAGAGACACAACCAUGAGAUUCCAUUUUUAAAAUGUACAGCAGCCACCAACCAGCAUCUGAAAAAGCCACGCUGCUAUUAUUAACAAUGAGACAACAGUUCUCUGGAGAAAAAGAGGACUAUUGAAACAAAACCUCAAUGACAGGAUUCUCUUCUGAGAGCACGAUUCAUCCCCAUAAUGGACAAAUGCCUCGCCUCAUUGAGACCUCCGCGCCAGUCUGAAUAAGGCAGGAAGGUUUCUUCACACCAUUCAUCUGGCCUGUGAGGGACCCAGCCAAGAUCUUGGCGUGCCUGUUCUGACAGCGACACCGGCCUCAGCAAAGCCAGACCCAGCAGCUCCGAUCUCUGCUACUUACAGACCUUGGGGUGAUGCUUGGCUGAGAUUUGGCAAGGAAAUGAAUUGCAGAAGUGAUCAAGGAGAAUUCCACAACCUGAGAGGCAGCAAAAGUGGACUUGACCCUGGUCUAGCAAGAGCCCACCAUUAGCAAUGACUCUUUCAAUACUUUCAGGAGCAGCUCCAGUCAAAAUUCCACUUACUCAAUUCUUUUUUUUUUUUUUUUUUUGAGACAGAAUCUCAUUGUCUCACCCAGGCUGAAGUGCAGUGGCUCAAUCUCAGCUCACUGCAACCUCCGCCUCCCAGAUUUAAGCAAUUCUUGUGCCUCAGCCACCCGAGUAGCUGGGAUUAUAGGCGUGUGCCACCAUAUCUGGCUAAUUUUUCUAUUUUUAGUAGAGAUGCGAUUUCACCAUGUUGGCCAGGCUAGUUUCGAACUCCUGACCUCAAGUGAUCCGCCUACCUCGGCCUCCCAAAGUGCUGGGAUUACAGGUAUGAGCCACUGCGCGCAGCCCCACUUGCCCAAUUCUUGACCAUCAUUUAUUGAGCUAAAUCCAAAAAGGAAACUCUACCACUGACUCUUUUCUUUCUCAUGGCCUCCAAAAUGAAUCCUAGGUUUUUCCAGCAGGGUAAAUUCAAAAGGACUCAGGUUGGAAAUUGACUUCUUGGUUAAAAAAAAAAAAAA